rnacentral:misc_RNA from 1 species
AGUAAUUUAGGGCAAUACACACUAGUAUACCUAUAACAUGUGGUUUUUCUAUUGUUGCGAUCUGGAGUUGUCAUAACGAGUAAGAAAAUACAAUCUUGUUGGCAGAGAUUGAAGAGGAUCCGAUGUUGUGAAUAUGGCAUCGGGAAGGAGAUGCAGUUACUCACAGAAUGGACGUCACGGAUGACUGAACAGCUCAUGCGUCGAUGGUUUCAAUGAUAUCAUUGAAUUGGCGUACACAGUAAUAAUGUUAGUGAUUGGUUUCUGGAUGUGUCUGGUAACAUUCACUGUUCAUGGUGACACAAGGCACUUCAGAUGGAACACCACCUUGAAUAACAGUGGUAUAUACUUUCAUGUCUGAAAUGUACACAAGAACUGAGGC